GAGCUUGCUCUCGGGUGACGAGCGGCGGACGGGUGAGUAAUGUCUGGGAAACUGCCUGAUGGAGGGGGAUAACUACUGGAAACGGUAGCUAAUACCGCAUAAUGUCGCAAGACCAAAGUGGGGGACCUUCGGGCCUCAUGCCAUCAGAUGUGCCCAGAUGGGAUUAGCUAGUAGGUGGGGUAACGGCUCACCUAGGCGACGAUCCCUAGCUGGUCUGAGAGGAUGACCAGCCACACUGGAACUGAGACACGGUCCAGACUCCUACGGGAGGCAGCAGUGGGGAAUAUUGCACAAUGGGCGCAAGCCUGAUGCAGCCAUGCCGCGUGUGUGAAGAAGGCCUUCGGGUUGUAAAGCACUUUCAGCGGGGAGGAAGGCGGUGAGGUUAAUAACCUCAUCGAUUGACGUUACCCGCAGAAGAAGCACCGGCUAACUCCGUGCCAGCAGCCGCGGUAAUACGGAGGGUGCAAGCGUUAAUCGGAAUUACUGGGCGUAAAGCGCACGCAGGCGGUCUGUCAAGUCGGAUGUGAAAUCCCCGGGCUCAACCUGGGAACUGCAUUCGAAACUGGCAGGCUAGAGUCUUGUAGAGGGGGGUAGAAUUCCAGGUGUAGCG
rnacentral:rRNA from 1 species